rnacentral:pre_miRNA from 1 species
AAUCAAUCUUCAUGCUUCUUUAUAGUGCCAUAAUGCAAGAGAACUUAUGGAAUGUAAAGAAGUAUGCAAAUUUUUU